UACAGAGGGUGCUAGCGUUGUUCGGAAUCAUUGGGCGUAAAGGGCGUGUAGGCGGUUUGUUAAGUCAUGUGUGAAAGCCCCCGGCUCAACCGGGGAACGACGCAUGAAACUGGCAAGCUAGAGUACCGAAGAGGGGGGGUGGAAUUCCCCGGUGUAGCGGUGAAAAUGCGUAGAUAUCGGAAGGAACACCUGUGGCGAAAAGCGGCUCACUGGACCAUUACUGACGCUGAUGCACGAAAGCUAGGGGAGCAAACAGG
rnacentral:rRNA from 1 species